CACGGCUUCUUGCUUCAACCGUAGAAACGGUAAGAUGAUGUGCAGGUUUUGUGGAGUGAGGGAGGUGUGUAUGUUGUUGUUGCCAUGUAAGCAUAUGUGUUUGUGUAAGGAGUGUGAGAGGAACCUGAGCUCUUGUCCUCUGUGUCAAUCUUCCAAGUUUCUGGGGAUGGAAGUAUACAUGUGAUAUGAUAUUUUCCGUAAACUAAAAAACUCUAAUUAGCUAACGAACGCUUUUGUAAUUUGUCUUUGUUUUAUUAUGGAGUGAAUCUGUGUAUAACACAUAAAGAAUGUCGAUAUUAGCUCAAUACCCAAAAGUGAAAAAAAAGCUGGUGUACAGUGUUUUUCGUGCAGAACCAAAUUACCUUAGUGUACUUUAAUUAAAGGGGAGUUUGAAUAAUGGAAAUUUACCUAUGCCCUCCUGUACUUUGACAUGCUUCAAACUUCCCAAAUCCUUGUGCAAACAAAUUCAAUCGAUUCUGGUGGGACCUCAAACCAAACAUCCGGAAAAUGUGUUGGGUUGCUUGGGAUAAUCUCACACUCCCAAAGAACGCAGGAGGACUCGGGUUUAAAGAAAUAGAAGUCUUUAACGAUGCCUUGCUUGCAAAGAUACCUUGGCGCCUUCUCCGCAACCCAAACUCUCUUCUCGGCCAAGUACUUCUAAAUAAAUACUGCAAAUAUGAGAACCUGCUUAAAUGUUCAGCACCGGGGAAUGCCUCUCAUGGGGGGGAGGGGAAUCCUCGCCGGCAGAGAAAUCAUUAAGAGAGGAGUGGGAUGGAUCGUUGGAGAUGGUUGCAAUAUAAAUGUGUGGCAGGAUAACUGGCUGUCCACAACAAAACAACUCUGCCCAAAGGGAUCAGUUCCAGAAAACCUCCAGGAGCUAAGAGUCUCGGACCUGAUCUCUUCACAAUCUGCUGAGUGAAACUCCCGUGCGGUCCGAACCAUUCUCCACUAGUACGAAGACAAGAUCAACCUCCUGGUUCCUAGUGCGCUGGGGAUGCAGGAUGAGAGGGUUUGGCUACCCGAGAAGUCGGGGGAAUACACUACUAAAUCAGGGUAUGCUCUCUCAAAACUACACGUCACUCCCCGAACCCCUGAAGAUUUCAACUGGAAACAAUGCAUUUGGAAUGUUAAAUGUUCCCCAAAGCUCAGGCAUUUUUUGUGGAAGAUCAAAUGUAAUGCUCUAUCUGUGGGUGAUCUUCUUAAGAAAAGAGGCAUGGAGACAGACGGUACCUACAAGCGAUGUGGAUAUGAUGAAACUGUCCUUCAUGUCUUUCUCACUUGCCCUUUUGCGAAGAAGGUAUGGGACCAAGCCCCUGCUUGUGGGAACCGAAAUUCGCACUAACAAUUUACGUUUAAAUAAGGAAACUAGGAAAACCCUAAUUUCCCAAAGGUCCCGGAUAUCUGCUAAUACCACACGCCAAGCAAUCAGAACACAAUAAUGACAACGAUAAAGUAUAAGAAAUCGAAAAGAGAGCAAAGUAGAUCUUAUUCCGAAUUCGCGUUUGAGCGUUACAACAAAGUAAGAGCCUGGGCUACGAGAGCUGUCGGCGAGAUUCCUUGUUCUAAACCCUAAGACGGCAAAACCUAGUUGAGUCGCAGCUCGAAUAACAAAAACGGAAAUAUGCCUAAAUCGCUCUAAGUGCUAAGUUCUCUCUGAAAAAGUCCCUCUCAUGCCUCUCGCCUAGGACUCCUUAUAUACUGGCUCCUAGGUCGGUUUACGCUUUUCCUCUUCUGCCCUUAGGCCGCCAUAGCAUAAAAAUGGAGAUAUUCUAUUUUUUUCGAUCUUCGUAAUUAUCUUCAAAAUUUCGUAUUUAUCCGCGGAAACUUGGCUUUUAUUUUUCCUUGUGAACCAAGCGUAAACAAUCAUGCGGCUUACGGGCUGUUCGUUAAGAAAUCGUAAGUAGGGCCUCGAGUCAUGUCUUAGGUCCCUUUGGGCCGUCUUCUGACUCGAAGCGUUUAUUACGGCUUCUUUCGAUAAAGAACGAACUUUCCGCGGUUUUUACGGUAAAGUUUGAUCGAUAACUUAGAAUGGCGGGGAUCGUGAAAUGGAUUCGCUACGGUCUUCGGGAGAUAGCAUCGAAGGGUAGACGAGAAUGCAUAGACUAAUGUCGUAUCGACGUUUCGGAAGAGCUCACCUCCCUUUCUUUUUUUAAUUUUUAGGUUUUAAAAGUAUUAUGUUUGGCUUACCUUUGAAUUGAUCAGUCCACGUUGCUGGUUUUGCACCGGUUGUGCAAUUCGACGGUGUCGAGUGGAACAGCUUUGGUCGGAAGAGAGUAAAGGAAAUGGACUUCCUCGAGAACAAUUCUCAGAUAUCUUCAAUUGAUUUUUGGCAAGGCCGGUCUGUCUCAACCGGGUUGGGUCUCUCACUCGAUAGUCCUCCUAUCGGCUCUGCUUUGUUGCCCCUCGUCGGAGACGAUGUUGAGCGAGAGUUACAGAGGCAAGAUGCAGAAAUCGAUCGAUUUCUCAAGAUUCAGGUUAGUUCGCUUCAACAAAUUAUAUGUUACAAGGUUGGUUUAAUGCUCUUAUGACAGUUUGUACGAGCUUAGAUCCGUUUGGUCUGUAUCGGCUUAAUCCAUGUUAUUAUUGUGUAGCUUUCUAGGAUGUAUUGAUUUGUUUUAUCUUUAACAGGGAGACCAACUACGCCAUGCGGUCCUCGACAAGAUCCAGAGGAGUCAAUACAAAACCGUGGCCCUCAUGGAGGAAAGAGUUGUCCAGAAGCUCCGUGAGAAAGACGAGGAACUCGAGAUGGUAAACCGAACGAACAAGGAACUCGAGGUGCGGAUUGAACAACUGGCAAUGGAAGCUGAGGCAUGGCAACAACGUGCAAAGUACAACGAGAACAUGGUCGCUGCUCUCAACUACAAUCUGGAGCGAGCUCACGGUCGACCAAGAGAUAGCAUUGAAGGAUGUGGAGACAGCGAAGUGGAUGACACGGCUUCUUGCUUCAACCGUAGAAACGGUAAGAUGAUGUGCAGGUUUUGUGGAGUGAGGGAGGUGUGUAUGUUGUUGUUGCCAUGUAAGCAUAUGUGUUUGUGUAAGGAGUGUGAGAGGAACCUGAGCUCUUGUCCUCUGUGUCAAUCUUCCAAGUUUCUGGGGAUGGAAGUAUACAUGUGAUAUGAUAUUUUCCGUAAACUAAAAAACUCUAAUUAGCUAACGAACGCUUUUGUAAUUUGUCUUUGUUUUAUUAUGGAG
rnacentral:lncRNA from 1 species